GAAUCGGCUAAUACGCAUACGACUACGGGUGAAAGGGGGCUUCGGCUCUACGCAGGUGAGCCCAAUCCGAUUAGUUGUUGGUGAGGUAACGGCUCACAAGCGACGACGGUAGCUGUCUGAGAGGAUAUCAGCCACACUGGGACUGGAACGGCCCAGCUCCUACGGAGGCAGCAGUGGGAAUAUUGGACAAUGGCAAAGCCUGAUCAGCAAUGCGCGUGUGUGAAGAAGGCUGCGGGUUGUAACACUUUCAGCGAGAAGAAAACCUGUGGUUAAUACCCAUGGUCUUGAGUACUCGCAGAAGAAGACCGGCUACUCCGUGCCAGCAGCCGCGGUAUAGGGGGUGCAAGCGUUAACGGAAUCAUGGGCGUAAAGCGCACGUAGGCGCGGUCAGUCAGAUGUGAAACCCCGGGCUAACCUGGGAACUGCAUUUGAACGCCUGCUAGAGUUUGAUAGGGGGGGUGAAUUCCAGGUGUAGCGGUGAAGCGUAGAUACUGGAGGAACACAGUGGCGAGGCGGCCCCCUGGAUCAAAUGACGCUGAGGUCGAAAGCGUGGGAGCAACAGGAUUAGAUACCCUGUGUCCACGCCGUAAACGAUGUCGACUGCCGUUGGGUCAUUUAAGGGUUUGUGCGCAGCUAACGCGAUAAGUCGACCG
rnacentral:rRNA from 1 species